AUGCACAAAAGCCCUGCAUAAUGGAUUUUAACCAGAGCCAUGAUGUUAGUUUGAUCAUAUCCACAACCUUCUCCAAGCGUACUUGUUCUCCACUAAAAACAACAGCAUUUCGCUGAUCCUAAAUGCACCAAAGAACGGCCAGCCAAAUGCUUCUCCAAGCUAGUCUUUGUUUUUUAUUUUUGCCCCAAUGCUCAUGAUGGAAAAAAUUAGUGUCAUAAGCUUUAUGCAGUACAGUCUCCACACUCAACCACUCAUAACACCCCAUCCAAACCUUAUAUGUGAAGCCACAGCUAAAAAACAGAUGGGCUACCUCUUAUAUAUGCUGAGAACAGAAGAAACACUGGCCGUCAUUGUUGUCGCCAAGAUCCACUCCCCUCUUCAAGAGAUUAUCAAGUGUCGGCAGCCUCCCGUGGGCAAUUUUCCACGCCAGUCCUAUCACUUUAGAUGGAACCAUGCUUCUCCAAAUGGUCUUGAAAAAAGCAGAAUCAUUCGAUGUCGGAAGCUGGGCCAGAUAUGCUGAUUUAACAGUAUAACCAGUCGCUAGAUCACCAGCCCAGCUCCAACCAUCUUGCUUAUCCUUCAAGAUUUGAACCGCUGAGAUUUCCUGCAUAAAAACCUCCAACAAUUGUUUCUCUCUUUCAAACAAAUCCCUUCUCCACCUAAACUUCCAAUUCCACCUCUCACCCUCCCACUCCCCCACACCCCCACCACCGAAUCCCUCUGUUCAGACAGUUCAAAUAGUCUUUUAAAUUUCCGUUUUAACUUCACAUCUCCUACCCAACACUCAUCCCAAAAGCUCACCAAUUUCCCAUCUCCAACCACUCUCUGCACAUUCCCACUGAACCACUCUCCUUUAUCCUGACACACCCCAACUUUCCCUAAGUCCUUCCACCACCUAGACCCUUUCCUCCAACUAUUCCCCUCACUCACCCGAACUCCUUCCCCAUACUUAGACCGCAAGACCCGCCCCCAUAAACUGUCCCCAUCAUUUAUCACACGCCACCUCCAUUUACAUAGCAAGGCCCUAUUAAAAACUACUAUAUCUUUCACCCCCAGCCCACCUUGCUCCUUAGGUUUGCAAACCGUAUCCCAAUUAACCCAAGCUAUUCUCCUCUCCUCCCCAUCCCCUCCCCAAAGAAAAUAGCGCGAGUUUAAGAGACAGAGACGGCCACCAAAGGAGAGAUGCUUCAUCUUCCAAGGGGUCAAACGCUUCUGCAACCUCUGCAACACCGGUUCCCAUGUACACGCCCUCCUAGGAUUCGCUCCCACCUCAAUUCCCAAAUAUACAAAAGGGACAGUCAUAACUUUACAAUUUAACAGAGCAGCAAACUGGUUUGUCAUCUCUUCAUUCACUGCGAUGCCUGCUAACUUACUCUUGAAGAAAUUAACUUUCAACCCGGAUAUCAACUCAAACCACCUCAAAAUGCCUUUGAUUGUGUACACAUUUUCCACCACCAUCUCCCCGAUUAAUAAAGUACCGUCUGCAAACUGAAUGUGUGAUAUCUCCAAGUUAUUUUUACCCACCUUGAACCCAGAAAAAAGAUUUUUACUCACAGCCUCUCUCAUCAAUCCCCUCAGCCCCUCAGCCACCCCACCCACUAACUCCUCCCUCAUUCCACUUUUCCCCCACCAUCUUGACAAACCGUGGAUCCCUAGACCAGCAAUCCAAGAUCCUGAAUGGUUUCGGGCCCCAAUCCACCUCCGAAUGCUUAAGAACAUGUGCACAAUUUGGCCACUUAUCCUGCCAUUCUACAGAGACUAAUGCCUUAUCUAUCCUACUCCUUGCACUACUCCCACUCCUAUACCAAGUGAACUUUCUAUUUACCAUUGGAAUAUUAAUCAAUUCCAUAGCCUCAAUAAAAUCAUUAAACUCCCUAAUCUUUGUUCCCCUCUGAGCCCCCCAACAUUCUGUCCUACUCUUUCGUCGCUUCUCCUAACAGCAUUAAAGUCGCCCACAACACACCACAAUCCAUCCCCCUCCGUCCUCCUAACCUCUACCAAAUCUUCCCACAGUUAGAUGCAUAAAUCUAGUGCAGUUUGGGAAGGGCAAUUGUAGUAUGCUACAAGCGUUGAAGGACUGAGAUAGUGAAGACUUGAAACUAUUUUUGGCAACAGAUUUGAUGAAUUGUUGUAUUGUUGAGUAUGGGAAGGGCAAUUGCAUUAUGCUACAGCCUACAGGUGUUGAAGGAUGGAGAUAGGGAAGACUUGGAUCUAUUUUUUGCAACAGAUUUGAUAAACUGUUGUAUUGUUGAGCAUGAGUUUGUUUAAUUGUAUCAUUAUACUGUUGGUGUGAGUCCGAAUUAUAUUGUUGGUGUCAAUUCAAUUGUAUGUCUGAAAAAAAAUGUAUGUACAUGGAACCUUUUUCUUUUAAGUUAUAAAUAUACAAGUCUCGUCAAAAGCAA